rnacentral:rRNA from 1 species
AUUGAACGCUGGCGGCAUGCCUAACACAUGCAAGUCGAGCGAGCGGCGGACGGGUGAGUAAUGUAUGGGGACUGCCCGAUAGAGGGGGAUAACUAGUGGAAACGGUGGCUAAUACCGCUUACUAACGGAUACCCCUUAUGGGAUUAGCUAGUGGGUGGGGUAAAGGCUCACCUAGGCGACGAUCUCUAGCUGGUCUGAGAGGAUGAUCAGCCACGCUGGGACUGAGACACGGCCCAGACUCCAAGGGAGGCAGCAGUGGGGAAUAUUGCACAAUGGGCGCAAGCCUGAGGCAGCCAUGCCGCGUGUAUGAAGAAGGCCUUCGGGUGGUAAAGUACUUUCAGCGGGGAGGCGUUAGCCGCAGAAGAAGCACCGGCUAACUCCGUGCCAGCAGCCGCGGUAAUUC